rnacentral:lncRNA from 10 species
UCCUUUAUGCCCCACCUCAGGAGGAGGAGCUGCUGCUACAGGGAGGAAUAUGCUGGCAAUCUACCUUUGGAAAGUCCUUGACCAAUUGUUUCGGUAAAUGGACAAGUGUAGCGGCCCCAGCCUGAGGCAGGUAUAGUGCCCAGGGUUUCAUGCCAGUAGAUGACCCAUCCAGAAGAGCAGAGGUGAUGUCUGAGGACUAUCGAUUUACAGCAAUGGAUUGGUCAAGGAAGGAUAAAGAAACUUGGAAAGAACUAUCAUGAUACCUGCCCUGAGAAGCCAAAAUUUGGUUUAACUUUGUGUUGUUUACUGUUUGGUUCUAUAAAAGCUAAGUUUAUAAAAUAUUGUAUGACAGGUGAAUUUAAAUGUUACUAACCAUCUUGGAUGUCCUGCUCUUCUGCUGUACAGCAAUAAAGUCUCUCUAAAUGC